rnacentral:rRNA from 1 species
AGCGAACGCUGGCGGCAGGCCUAACACAUGCAAGUCGAACGAACCUUUCGGGGUUAGUGGCGGACGGGUGAGUAACACGUGGGAACGUGCCUUUAGGUUCGGAAUAACUCAGGGAAACUUGUGCUAAUACCGAAUGUGCCCUUCGGGGGAAAGAUUUAUCGCCUUUAGAGCGGCCCGCGUCUGAUUAGCUAGUUGGUUGAGGUAAUGGCUCACCAAGGCGACGAUCAGUAGCUGGUCUGAGAGGAUGAUCAGCCACAUUGGGACUGAGACACGGCCCAAACUCCUACGGGAGGCAGCAGUGGGGAAUCUUGCGCAAUGGGCGAAAGCCUGACGCAGCCAUGCCGCGUGAAUGAUGAAGGCCUUAGGAUUGUAAAAUUCUUUCACCGGGGACGAUAAUGACGGUACCCGGAGAAGAAGCCCCGGCUAACUUCGU